AUGCCCCCUUCAUUAAAAGUAUUAAUGAUAAAUACUAAGUAACUAAACACUUAUAAAUUCUCAAUCUUAGUUACUUAGGAAAAUGUGAAUAAGGUGCUAAUCCAUGAAAUUACACUUUGCACUUUGUUUAAGUCGUUAGUGGAACAUGUGUGAUUAACCGUUACACUAACCUGGAUUUAACAAAGUAGGCAAAGGGUAACUUAAUAUUUAUCAUAGUAUUGGUGGAGCAUGUGUGGUUAACCGGCACAUCGAUUGAGGGGUAAAUAUUAAGGAUACCAAGUAUAUUUGCAUGGUUACUUCACACCUUGUUUUGUGAUCNAAUUCUCCCUUCAUUAAAAGUAUUAAUGAUAAAUACUAAGUAACUAAACUCUUAUAAAUUCCCAAUCUUAGUUACUUAGGAAAAUGUGAAUAAGGUGCUAAUCCAUGAAAUUACACUUUGCACUUUGUUUAAGUCGUUAGUGGAACAUGUGUGAUUAACCGUUACACUAACCUGGAUUUAACAAAGUAGGCAAAGGGUAACUUAAUAUUUAUCAUAGUAUUGGUGGAGCAUGUGUGGUUAACCGGCACAUCGAUUGAGGGGUAAAUAUUAAGGAUACCAAGUAUAUUUGCAUGGUUACUUCACACCUUGUUUUGUGAUCCUCGGCAUCCCAGUCACAAAAACUAAAGGGCACACUCGAGAUUGAAACAUGCCAUUGAAAAGUUCAAUGAAUCUCAAAAGAAUCUAGGAGUUUCAAAACCAAUUAAAACCUAAUAAUACAUUUCCUUUAUCUUGGUGGAAAUUGGUGAAUCGUCAUUCACCUACCUUCAAAUAUUUUAUAGCUUGGAUUACGGCAUCCCUCUUCCAAGUUAUAAUAUAGUUUGUUGGGUCCUAGCCUUAAUAUUUCAUAUUGGGUGUUAUAUUAAGGACUUAAAUCAACUUUACUUGAAUUUCUCCCAUUGUUGAUGUCUGGUUUAGACAACAAUGAUCUUCCCGAAUCAAGCUUUCCUAAUGAAUAUGACUUCCCGAUUUUGGCUCAUGGAAGUCAUACUUCUCUUCCUCCACCUCCUCCAAUUAUUCUCCCUGACCCACAAGUUUGAAGACUUGAAAAGUUCAAGAUCACUCAAUCCCUACUCACAAUAAAACAUAAAAUUGGAAGUCCUGUGUCCACUCAUGUCUUGGGACUGAAGUCACACAGUGACAGGUUGAGAAUGUUGGGUGUCGUUGUCCCAAGGAAGUUGGCUAUUGAUUGGGUCUUUCAGU
rnacentral:lncRNA from 1 species